rnacentral:rRNA from 1 species
CACGUAGGGUGCGAGCGUUGUCCGGAAUUAUUGGGCGUAAAGAGCUCGUAGGCGGCUCGUUGCGUCGGCUGUGAAAACCCGCAGCUCAACUGUGGGCUUGCAGCUGAUACGGGCGGGCGUAGAAUUCGGUAGGGGAGACUGGAAUUCCUGGUGUAGCGGUGAAAUGCGCAGAUAUCAGGAGGAACACCGGUGGCGAAGGCGGCUCACUGGGGGUUUUCUGAGCGCUGAGGAACGGAAAGCCAGGGGAGCGAACCGGG